AAAAAAUGCAAAAAUGAAGCAUCAUCUGAGUUGAUUGAUGACUACUGUGUGCACAGUGACAGAAGUAGCAGAAGAGAUGAAGAAAAAACUGAACAUUCUGAAGUUCAAAGCUUGAGUUGUGAACCAGAUUGUGGCAAUCCUUCAAUAAUUCCAUCUGCUUCUUGUGUCGAACCAGAGGGAGAUACUGAUGUUGAUUUGGUAAUAAAUGGUGCAAUCAAUUCUACUAGCUAUAGUGAAGCAAGUGGAGGAAUUAGAAUUGAUAAUGAUAAAAAUGACGAGUGCAAAGAUGACCCCGUGUUUGGAAAAAAUGAAGUAUUUGAGGAUAUGGAAGGCGGUGCACUGUGGGACAUCUUUAGAAGGCAAGAUGUUGCUAAGUUGGAGGAAUAUCUUUUGAAGCACUUCAAGGAAUUCAGACAUAUCUACUGUUGCCCGGUCCCACAGGUUAUUCACCCUAUACAUGAUCAAACAUUUUACUUGACUGAGGAUCACAAAAGGAAGCUUAAGGAAGAGUAUGGAGUUGAGCCAUGGACCUUUGUUCAAAAAUUGGGAGAUGCAAUUUUUAUACCUGCGGGCUGUCCUCAUCAAGUUAGAAACUUGAAGUCCUGUAUUAAGGUUGCUCUUGACUUUGUGUCUCCCGAAAAU
rnacentral:misc_RNA from 1 species